rnacentral:rRNA from 1 species
UCCAGACUCCUACGGGAGGCAGCAGUGAGGGAUAUUGGGCAAUGGGGGAAACCCUGACCCAGCGACGCCGCGUGAGGGAAGACGGUCUUCGGAUUGUAAACCUCUGUCUUUGGGGACGAAAAAGGACGGUACCCAAGGAGGAAGCUCCGGCUAACUACGUGCCAGCAGCCGCGGUAAUACGUAGGGAGCGAGCGUUGUCCGGAUUUACUGGGUGUAAAGGGUGCGUAGGCGGCUUGGCAAGUCAGUAGUGAAAUCCAUGGGCUUAACCCAUGAACUGCUAUUGAAACUGUCGAGCUUGAGUGAAGUAGAGGUAGGCGGAAUUCCCGGUGUAGCGGUGAAAUGCGUAGAGAUCGGGAGGAACACCAGUGGCGAAGGCGGCCUACUGGGCUUUAACUGACGCUGAGGCACGAAAGCGUGGGUAGCAAACAGGAUUAGAUACCCUCGUAA